GUGACGUAACUAACCCGUUCCAGUAGCGGAGCAACUCCCGACACCUGGAGCGUUGCAAUUGGAAUUGAACCUUGCUGACCUGGGGUUAGGAAGAAAGGAAAGGGUCACUGAAAGGGGUUGUUAUUCUAGCGGAGGGACGAGUGGAGGGUCGUAACGUUAGGGCAAGAGGCCCCUGCCAGCAGAAGUUCAUUCAGCUGAUGGAGCGAAAUCUACUGAUACCCCAGCCCUGGCUGCCACAGGAACACAGGUUAAACAAGACCUGAUCUCAGCCACCCAGGGUCUCAGGAGAAAGAUAAAUGUGUGAGCACAGAAUUACAGGAGCAAAUGAUCUCCGUGAGCGCCAGACAAGGUCAGCCAUGCACCUAAAAUGUCCCCCUGCACAAGACACAAAAAGGCCUGAGCGGACGCUGUGCCGGGUUAUGCGGCUUGGUAAACGGAGUACAGCUGACGUUUAGUCUUCCCUGGGCCACCGGGUGGGUGCUUUGUGCAGAGCCCUAAGUGCACAGCUGUGCCCGGCUGCCGCCCCCAGGAGGAAGAGACUGGUGCCUACACAGGGGGGUACAGACCUCCUGCAAGGACGUGCACCUGGACGGCAGGAAGCCCUGCGGGCCCAGCCUUCCAGCCCUAAACGUCACCAGAGACCUCGGCCGUUCCCUGCGCUUCUGGUGCCGUUAACUGUACCAAGCAGUCCACAAAGAGAAUUCCCAGAUAUUUGGAAGGAGAAACUGGCAGAUGGUGUUUACAGCUUUGCUUCUGGUUAUCCUAUCAGAGUGAACGCCAGGUGUUCUCUUCUGGUUUCCUGGAUACUACUGUUGGAUCUGAGACAGUGAAAGAUGGUCCAAAGAAGUUUAGUCUAGAGGCUGAGUCAUGAUUCAUUACCCCGUUACGGAUCAGUACCAGCUUCCAGUCCUGGAGCCCAGUCACUGAAGGAGAGGCCAAGUCUGCAGAUGGGAAGAUCCCAUGACACGAAGAGUCAAAUGCAAGAGAGUGUGGGAGAGCUGUCCACACACCAGAGACCCAAAGAAUCCAGCUGAGGGCCUGGAUCCCAUGGCAACGACCUGCACGAGUCCAGCUGAAGACCUAG